rnacentral:rRNA from 1 species
CACGUAGGGGCCAAGCGUUGUCCGGAUUUAUUGGGCGUAAAGAGCUCGUAGGCGGUUCGACAAGUCUGGUGUGAAAACUCCGGGCUCAACCCGGAGACGCCACCCGAUACUGUCGUGACUGGAGUCCGGUAGGGGAGUGGGGAAUUCCUGGUGUAGCGGUGAAAUGCGCAGAUAUCAGGAGGAACACCAAUGGCGAAGGCAGCUCGCUGGGACGGUACUGACGCUGAGACGCGAAAGCGUGGGGAGCAAACAGG